rnacentral:rRNA from 1 species
UACGUAGGGUGCGAGCGUUAUUCGGAAUUACUGGGCGUAAAGCGUGCGCAGGCGGUUUUGUAAGUCAGAUGUGAAAUCCCCGGGCUCAACCUGGGAAUGGCAUUUGGGACUGCAAGGCUGGAGUUUGGCAGAGGAGACUGGAAUUCCUGGUGUAGCAGUGAAAUGCGUAGAUAUCAGGAGGAACACCGAUGGCGAAGGCAGGUCUCUGGGCUGAAACUGACGCUCAUGCACGAAAGCGUGGGGAGCAAACAGG